ACCUCCUAAGUAUAUUUGUACCCGUGACCUCCACUCACAAAGACUUAGCCUUGAACUAAGAGGGGGUA
rnacentral:tRNA from 1 species